GCCCUUUCCAUUGCCAAAUUAAUUUCCAGAAAUGAGCAUCUUUGCUGCAAUUGGAAUUAUUCAGAAAAAGGUAAGCUGAUUUAGAUGUGAACCUGCCCGUUUUUGAGUGAGCCCAAUAUAGGAGAUCUUCGCAUUUGCCAUCAGACGGGGGCUUGACCGCUGCAAUUUGGAGAAGAAUUUGAUUGGGGAUAAAAGUACUAAUCAUGUUCCAGUUCCACUGCCCCUCAGCAUUUACAAAAUC
rnacentral:lncRNA from 1 species